rnacentral:rRNA from 1 species
GAUGAACGCUAGCGACAGGCUUAACACAUGCAAGUCGAGGGGCAGCAUAAAAGUAGCAAUACUUUGGUGGCGACCGGCGCACGGGCGAGUAACGCGUAUGCAACCUACCUAUCAGAGGGGAAUAACCCGGCGAAAGUCGGACUAAUACCGCAUAAAACAGGGGCACCGCAUGGUGAUAUUUGUUAAAGAAAUUCGCUGAUAGAUGGGCAUGCGUUCCAUUAGGUAGUUGGUGAGGUAACGGCUCACCAAGCCGACGAUGGAUAGGGGGACUGAGAGGUUGGUCCCCCACACUGGUGCUGAGACACGGACCAGACUCCCACGGGAGGCAGCAGUGAGGAAUAUUGGUCAAUGGGCGAGAGCUUGAACCAGCCAAGUCGCGUGAAGGAAGAAGGAUCUAUGGUUCGUAAACUUCUUUUGCAGGGGAAUAAAGUGCAGGACGUGUCCUGUUUUGUAUGUACCCUGAGAAUAAGGAUCGGCUAACUCCGUGCCAGCCGCCGCCGUAAGAC